rnacentral:misc_RNA from 1 species
GAUGAAGAACGCAGCGAAAUGCGAUAAGUAAUGCGAAUUGCAGAAUUUCCGUGAGUCAUCGAAUCUUUGAACGCACAUUGCGCCCCUUGGUAUUCCAUGGGGCAUGCCUGUUCGAGCGUCAUUUGUACCUUCAAGCUCUGCUUGGUGUUGGGUGUUUGUCUCGCCUCUGCGUGUAGACUCGCCUCAAAACAAUUGGCAGCCGGCGUAUUGAUUUCGGAGCGCAUUACAUCUCGCGCUUUGCACUCAUAACGACGACGUCCAAAAGUACAUUUUUACACUCUUGACCUCGGAUCAGGUAGGGAUACCCGCUGAACUUAAGCAUAUCAAUAAGCGGAGGA